AGGGCACUACCAGGAGUGGAUCCUGCGGCUCAAUUUGACUCAACACGGGAAAGCUCACCUGGUCCGGACACUGGAAGGAUUGACAGAUUAAGAGCUCUUUCUUGAUUCAGUGGGUGGUGGUGCAUGGCCGUUCUUAGUUGGUGGAGCGAUUUGUCUGGUUAAUUCCGAUAACGAACGAGACUCUAGCCUACUAAAUAGGUGUUCCGAUCCCAUCAGUCGGACGCUCUUCUUAGAGGGACAAGCGGCGUUUAGCCGCACGAGACAGAGCAAUAACAGGUCUGUGAUGCCCUUAGAUGUCCGGGGCCGCACGCGCGCUACACUGAAGGAACCAGCGUGUGUCCCCGUCCGGCAGGACUGGGUAAUCCGUUGAACCUCCUUCGUGAUAGGGAUAGGGGCUUGUAAUUGUUCCCCUUGAACGAGGAAUUCCCAGUAAGCGUGAAUCAUCAGUUCACGUUGAUUACGUCCCUGGCCUUUGUACACACCGCCCGUCGCUACUACUGAUUGGAUGAUUUAGUGAGG
rnacentral:rRNA from 1 species